CUGGAGCUGAAUGGCAUAGAGCCGGCACAAGAGACAGACUGUGAUGUAGAUUCAGUGUUUCUCAUGGAAAUCAUGGAAAUUAAUGAGAAAUUAGCAGACCCUAAAAGUGAGGAGAUCCUUGAAGAAAUUGAAACUUUAAUUAAAGUUAAACAAGAAGAACUGACCAAAGAGGUGACUGCAGCUUUUGAAAGAGAUGAUCUUCAGGAAGCUAAGAAGCUUUUAGCCAAAAUGAAAUAUUUUGCAAACUUAGAGGAUAAACUAAAGAACAAGAAGAUCCCUUCCUGAUACUGCCUCCUUUACCAUUAAGAGUUAAUGUUGUUUUCAAUUAAACAGCUGAUUUAGUUACCAAAA